UGGGGAAUCUUGCGCAAUGGCCGAAAGGCUGACGCAGCGACGCCGCGUGUGGGAGGACGCCCUUCGGGGUGUAAACCACUGUUGCCCGGGACGAAUAUCCUCCUUCAGGGGGAUUGACGGUACCGGGUGAGGAAGCACCGGCUAACUCCGUGCCAGCAGCCGCGGUAAUACGGAGGGUGCGAGCGUUGUCCGGAAUCACUGGGCGUAAAGGGCGCGUAGGCGGCGCGAGCAGUCGAUCGUGAAAGUCCGGAGCUCAACUCCGGAUCGGCGGUCGAUACUCUCGUGCUCGAGCACUGUAGAGGCAGGUGGAAUUCCGGGUGUAGCGGUGGAAUGCGUAGAGAUCCGGAAGAACACCGGUGGCGAAGGCGGCCUGCUGGGCAGUAGCUGACGCUGAUGCGCGACAGCGUGGGGAGCAAACAG
rnacentral:rRNA from 1 species